AGGGAGUUGGUAUGUCCUGUCACUGAUGUCAGGUGACUCACACAGACGGGUUUGGGACUCUAGAAGCUGGCUGUCGGAACAUCCUUUGAAGUGGUGGUUUUAAACACUUUUAUGAACUGCAGGCUGAAUGUGAACAUUUACCUGCUGCCAUGUAAAACCCCACUGUGUUCCUGCGGCAUCAUCAGGCUUGGAAAAGAGCAAGUCCAAGGGUUCUCCCAAGGUCUGGAUCUAUCUGCAUGAAUGGCCCUCACCUGCGGUGCUCCUGACGCAUCUUGGAGGCCAAAGGAACUUUCUUCCUGGCUCUUGGCAGCAUUGACUGGGGAUCUUCAAAUGGCCAACCAGUUCACAGCCAUUGUGAACAUUUAUGUAAUAACACUUCAUUUCACCUGUUCCUCACAAUGGUCCCUGCUUUACAAAUAGAGAAGUGAAGCUUCUGGAGGUCAGAUGAUUUGCCCAAGGUUAUGGAAGUAGUAAGGAGUGGAAACCAAGCUUUUUAAUUUCAAAUCCAAUGCUCUUAUCACAAUACCUCACUAUUAAUCCCUAAUCUGCCCAAAUAUUGCAUUAAAAGGAAAUGAUUUAGGGAAGAGA
ensembl:lncRNA novel transcript